rnacentral:rRNA from 1 species
AACCCAAAGGACUUGACGGUGUUCCACCCAUCUAGAGGAGCCUGUUCUUUAAUCGAUACUCCCCGCUUUACCUCACCAUUUCUUGCUUUUUUCAGCCUGUAUACCUCCGUCGCAAACUUGCCCUAUGAAUGAUUUACAGCAAGUCUAAUGGCCCCCACCAAUACGUCAGGUCAAGGUGCAGCCCAUGAAAUGGGAAGCAAUGGGCUACAAUUUCUAACUUAGAAUACACGAAUUAUCACUUGAAACUGUGAUCAUGAAGGUGGAUUUAGUAGUAAAGAGAAACUAUAGCGUUCUCUUUAAUUAGGCCCUGGAACGUGUACAAACCGCCCGUCACCCUCUUCGAUAG